CUGCUCCUCCUGCUCCUCCUCUCCGGGUCCGACCGUCACAUUAAGUGUGGGUUCUGUAGAGAUACGGGGUUCUGAUGGCUCCACUGUUGAAUCCUGCUACAUUACAUCUUGUUUACAGUCAAUAUGAAGCUACGUGUCGGAACCAGGCCGAGCUAACGCCACGUUAGCUUCUUGUUAGCUGCUAGCUGUGUUCAUGAACACUGACCUGAACAUCGGUGCUAUCAGAGCUCGAGCCUGCUGUUUGUCCUCCGGGGACGUUGUUGCUCCGGGGCUCCGGGUCCUGGUUGUCCUCCUCCAUCCCGCUCUUGGUCCUGGUCUCUGAGAUCCAGUAGGUCUCCUGUGGGACUGACUGAGCUCUUCAGAUCAAGUCCUGCAGCCCGCAGACGUGACGGAAGUUGAACGACAUUGAAAACGUGAUGACGUUUUUCUCGGCCCACGUACAUCCUCCAGCUGCGGUCAGAUAUAUCUGGAUGUCUUAUGGCUGCAGAGUUCGCUUAAAGUGACUAUUUGUGGUCCUGCACAUCUGAAUAGCCGAAUGUUUCAUCUGUACCAUUUUCAGACAAAUGUCUCCACACAACGAGCUGAUAUCAAUGAGGAAGUGUUGUAGAAAGACUGGUGUGUCAUGUGAUGUUUGUUCUUCAACACACACACACAGAUGUGUAGUGAUGGUGUAACCCUCCCCUCCAUGUCUCUGCUGGGACGUCCUCACAGGCAGCAUGUUGUCUCUGGGUCAUUCUGCUUCCUCCGUCCUCCAGCCGGUGACCCAGAGACCCACCGAGCUCCUCCAUCAUCCAGGAUGUUCCCCUCACUUUCACAGAUGGAGCAGAGAGGAGCCCCAGCUGGAUCCUAUGAGGACGUCUUUUAACGGGCAGAAACAGGCUGCUUGUUGAUUGGUCGGCCGAUCUGAUGGACAGUAAAAGUGGAAAUUCUAAUAUUAAUAUUCCUCCAGAAGUGUAAAAGGGAAUAACAGCAGCAGCAGAGGCUCUGAACGUCUUCAUGAUGAUUCAGCAAAUGAAAAUGAAUCCAUGUGUGUGGAAUGACAAUGGCCGUCCUGGAUAACCAGUAUCAUGAAGCUGCUUAUGGACGACUGGCUCUGUUAACUCUGGGUUUUCCUUCCAGCUCUGAGUGUGUUGAGGUGAAACAGGACGAGUUGUUGGUUCCAACAACAUCAUCACAACCAUGAAGGAAGAGCUUCAUCUGAGACCUGCUGAAUAUUUAUUAGACAGAUUAUUGGACAGAUGCUGCAGGAAGCUUUCAGCUGGCAGGAGACACAAUAAGACUUUAAAACAUAGAAACAGGACUCUGAGACUAGAUCCAGGUCCACACAGGUUCCAGUAAAGACACUAGUCAUAGUCCAGUGAAGCCAACAGGUUGUUAGUAACAUUUGUUGCCAUUCGUGCAAGAUACGUUUGGUUUUAGCUGAAUUCCUUUCAACAUGAAUUGAAAACCCUUUUAAAAACCUUACAAACGACAGUUGACAAAGCAGCAACCAUAAACUAAACAUUUAGUUGAACAGGCUAUAUGUAGUUUUUCAAGGAAACCACUUACUAAUAAAUCAAAUGAUUAUUUUCUUUUUGUAAAUGAGCUCUAACUUCACUUAGAAAUGAAACACACACCUGUUUUCUCUGAUUCUUGCAACAGCCAAUAAUCUGCUAUUAUUGUCAACGGGCCGAGUCUCUCUCAGACCGCAGCCACAACACCGCAGCUAACGACAUGCACUCAUGCAGGCACGCAUGUAGGAUCUGGUUUGAAUAUCUCACUCAGUGUUAACAUCAUAUAGCUGAUCUUCACUGAAGAGCUGGAACAAGUUGAACACAAUAAAUAUGAGAUGCUGCCA